rnacentral:rRNA from 1 species
AAGGUAGUGUAGUUAACACCUGCACUAUUUGACGUUACCUACAGAAGAAGCACCCGGCUAACUCCGUGCCAGCAGCCGCGGUAAUACGGAGGGUGACGAGCGUUUAAUCGGAAUUACUGGGCGUAAAAGCGCAUGCAGGUGGUUUGUUAAGUCAGAUGUGAAAGCCCCGGGGCUACAACCUACCGGAAUUGCAUUUGAAACUGGCAGACUAGAGUACGUGUAGAGGGGGUAGAAUUUCAGGUGUAGCGGUGAAAUGCGUAGAGAUCUGAAGGAAUACCGGUGGCGAAGGCGGCCCCCUGGACAGAUACUGACACUCAGAUGCGAAAGCGUGGGGAGCAAACAGGAUUAGAUACCCUGGUAG